rnacentral:rRNA from 1 species
AAUAUUUGGCAAUGGGGGCAACCCUGAUCCAGCCACGCCGCGUGUGUGAAGAAGGUUUUCGGAUUGUAAAGCACUGUAAGUUGGGAGGAAGGGCUGUAGGCUAAUACCCUGAAGUUUUGACGUUCCCAACACAAUAAGCACCGGCUAACUCUGCGCCAGCAGCCGCGGUAAUACAGAGGGUGCAAGCGUUAAUCGGAAUUACUGGGCGUAAAGAGCGCGUAGGUGGUUCAGUAAGAUGGGUGUGAAAUCCCCGGGCUUAACAUGGGAACUGCUUUCAUGACUGCUGAGAUAGAGUACGGUAGAGGGUAGUGGAAUUUCCUGUGUAGCGGUGAAAUGCGUAGAUAUAGGAAGGAACACCAGUGGCGAAGGCGACUACCUGGACUGCUACUGACACUGAGGUGCGAAAGCGUGGGGAGCAAACA